AUACUGAAGGGGCUGCAUAAACAGCAUCAUCGCUCUCCAAAAGCGUGGAGAGAGUUGAAAUAUCUGGCAGAUGUCUUCAACCAAAAGGUCUGGAGGAUGACCAACUUGGGAGGGACAAGGUGGCUCCAACACAUGGAGAGGGCACUCAGGGUCUUGCUGAAAAACUACCCAGUAUUGCUUUCCCAGAUGGAAAACUCAAUCAUCAAGUGCUGAAAUGAUUGGACCAGCCAAGCAGUGCCUUCAGGUGUUGAAAGAUAUUCAAUGCCUUCUCUUCAUCAUGCUGGUCCAAUACAUCAUAGAAGUCUUGAGUUGGAAAGUUUCUAUUAAAUAUAAUCUGAUAGGCAGGAAUAUAUAUAAAAAUAUAAGGCAGAAAAGUGUGUGGAGGGCUUCCUAGCUGAAACCAAGAAUGGGACCUAUCAAAAUCUUAAGCUGUUAAGUGUGAAGCGGACGCUCCUGCGCAGGGGGAUUGCCAGGCUAUAGUCCCGACUUAAGGGGGUUGAGUCUAAUCCGGUGCUGCGGCAAAACUGGUGGAUCCUCGCGAGAUCCUCCUGAUCAUCAAGAACUAGCAUGCUAUGGCAGGGACCACCUUGCCACGGUCUGUGAUCACUUUGCUAAUGUCCUUGACCGGAUUUGACAUUUUGGGACGAAGCGCAGCGUGUGGAGUGGCCUGCUGCUAAGGUCCUUAUUACAGAGCCCACAGAGGAAUGCUUGGCAAGACUUUUUUUCUGGAUAAUGAGUGAGAGAGUAGCUUCCCCGACCACCUCCUCAUUGUGGAGCCCAUCUUGGUCUUCCCUCUGUCCAUGGCAACAGUCGAGAGGGGCUUCAGUGCCAUGAAGAGUACAAAGACUGACUGGAGGAACAGCUUGAGCAUUGAAAUGCUGAAGAGCUUGCUCUUCAUUAGCUUGGAGGGUCCCAACUUGGAGCACUUCAUCCCCAUGCCAACAGUGAAGAGGUGGCUCAUGGAGGCGGAAAGGAGGAGUUUCCGGUGAAUAAAAUGGACCGCUGUAGGAGAAUAAGGGAGGGGCCCAUGGUGCUGGAGGUUAAGGUUUUCUUUCUACCCUAACCUGUCCUGGUUCCUGAUGUGGCCAUUAUUCUUUCAGUGUUUGUCCCUGUCUGCUACAGUUUUUAAAUAGUUUAUAUAAAAAGCUCACUUUUUCUGAGGCUUUUUUUCUUUGUCAUAUGACAUUAACUUGCAUAUCAUUGAGUAAGACUGUUGGUUGUACAAAAACAAAAUCGUUUAAUUGAGAAAAUAAUGCAGAUUGAUAUAUUUUUUUGAAAUAACAUACUUAUUUUACGCUUGCCUUAUAUGGUAGUUCCCUAUUAUUUAUUUUUAUGAUAACAAUUUAAAUGUUUGGCAUUAACUGUUGGAAAUUAAUUAUUUUAAUUUCAGUAAGGCAACUGACUGAGUUCAAAGAGUUGCAUGUACAAAAACUGGGAAAACUAUAAGUUUUUGACUAUAAGUCAAAAUAUUUGUAUUUUACUUUAAAGUUUAAAUGUUUAUAUGUAAUGUAAAUGUGUUUAAAAAAGAAAAGGGAAGAUGUAAUGAUAGUGGUUGGUUUUAUGGAGUAGUGGCAAACCUGUCUAGUAUAUGUAUAUGUUUGGCAACCUUGUCUAGUAUAUGUUUGUGCAUGUGCAGAAGGUGGGCAGAAACUAUUAGCAUGGUGCUAUAAAUCUAAACUUAUACUCAUCUAUGGCUCAGGAGUCUGUGAUUGAUCAUCCCAACUAAAACACUAUUAGGUUGAAAAGACUAUUUGUAAAGCUGUUUCAUGACGUCUCUGGGUCAGCACAGCUUUAAAAGUUGAUGAUUUUGUAAAAGGUGUAAUUGACAAAUCAAUUGAAGCAAAUCGUGAGUUUGAAUCAAGGUCAUGUUUUUUUAAAAGAUGAAUUGUUCAGCUCUAUAGACCUUUUUCACAAAAACCGGAAAUACGUAAUCGUUGUGGAAACGGAGUUCCCGUCAACUGUCGACACAUUAGAAAAACCUAGUUAUUUCAUCAGGGAGAGGUGAUUGUUUCCAGUUUUAUUGAUUUUCUUAAGACAUUAAGGAAACAAAUAAGCCUAUUAUUAUUAAAUUC